AUUGAACACUGGCGGCAGGCCUAACACAUGCAAGUCGAGCGGAUGAAGGGAGCUUGCUCCUGGAUUCAGCGGCGGACGGGUGAGUAAUGCCUAGGAAUCUGCCUGGUAGUGGGGGAUAACGUCCGGAAACGGGCGCUAAUACCGCAUACGUCCUGAGGGAGAAAGUGGGGGAUCUUCGGACCUCACGCUAUCAGAUGGGCCUAGGUCGGAUUAGCUAGUUGGUGGGGUAAAGGCCUACCAAGGCGACGAUCCGUAACUGGUCUGAGAGGAUGAUCAGUCACACUGGAACUGAGACACGGUACAGACUCCUACGGGAGGCAGCAGUGGGGAAUAUUGGACAAUGGGCGAAAGCCUGAUCCAGCCAUGCCGCGUGUGUGAAGAAGGUCUUCGGAUUGUAAAGCACUUUAAGUUGGGAGGAAGGGCAGUAAGUUAAUACCUUGCUGUUUUGACGUUAACAACAGAAUAAGCACCGGCUAACUUCGUG
rnacentral:rRNA from 1 species